rnacentral:rRNA from 1 species
GUUUCCGUAGGUGAACCUGCGGAAGGAUCAUUACCGAGAGAGGGGCCCUCGCGCUCCCGGGGGUUUCGGCCCCCAACUCUUCACCCGUGUGUACCUACCUUUGUUGCUUUGGCGGGCCCUGAGCACCCCUCGCGCCGCCCACUGUAGGCCGGCGAGCGCCCGCCAGAGGCCCAUCAAAAAUCUGUUUAUCAAUGACGUCCGAGCGAAAAACACAAUAAUUAAAACUUUCAACAACGGAUCUCUUGGUUCCAGCAUCGAUGAAGAACGCAGCGAAAUGCGAUAACUAAUGUGAAUUGCAGAAUUCAGUGAAUCAUCGAGUCUUUGAACGCACAUUGCGCCCCUCGGUAUUCCGGGGGGCAUGCCUGUUCGAGCGUCAUUAUACCCCUCAAGCGUAGCUUGGUAUUGGGCCUCGCCCCCGCGGCGUGCCCGGAAAUCAGCGGCGGUCCGGGGCGACUUUAAGCGUAAUAAUUUCAUCCCGCUUUGAAGGUUCGCCCUGCGGCCGGCCGGACAACCCCAUACAUUUUCAACCAUUGACCUCGGAUCAGGUAGGGAUACCCGCUGAACUUAAGC